CCUACGGGUGGCUGCAGUAAGGAAUAUUGGACAAUGGCGGAGACGCUGAUCCAGCUAUCCCGCGUGCAGGAUGACGGCCCUACGGGUUGUAAACUGCUUUAGACUGGGGCGAAAAAGUGGGAUUUAUCCUACAUUGACGGUACCAGUAAAAUAAGCACCGGCUAACUCCGUGCCAGCAGCCGCGGUAAUACGGAGGGUGCCAGCGUUACCCGGAAUCACGGGGUAUAAGGCGGGCUGAGGAGGCUUGAGUGAAAGGCCAUGGCUCAACUUUGGGAUUGCUUUUGAUACUGACGAGCUUGGAUUAGGACGAGGUUGGCGGAAUGUGGCAAGUAGCGGUGAAAUGCAUAGAUAUGCCAUAGAAUACCGAUUGCGAAGGCAGCUGACUAGACCUAUAUUGACGCUGAGGCACGAAAGCGUGGGGAGCGAACAGGAUUAGAUACCCCAGUAGUC
rnacentral:rRNA from 1 species